GUUAAUACACUCUACUGAUCCCUGAUGGGAGAAUCAUCACCUCUGCCAACAAAGAAGCCUGGUGGAUGUUUGUUUACAGUCUGAUGAUGCGACACCAUGCUCUGCAUCUUCAAAGUUUGUCUCUUGAUUAUUAUUCAUACACAGUAAUGUGAAGCAUGCUCAUAUCUAGUAUAACUGGACCAACCUGGUGCUCUUCAUUUAUGGAGGCUGUUGAGUCUGAAUGUUGGAUGUUGUGUAUCUCGUGUUCUCUGGGCUUUGUUGUCCUCAGUCUUUUUGCAGGAUCAGAAAACAAAACCAGGAGGCCUGUAAAUGUUUCUUCUCCAAUUGGAUGAUGAUAAGACUGUGACAUGGGAUGCCACCUUUAGUCUUGUGAUGAAGCAAAGCUCAGGAAGAAGUGUGAUUAAAUGGUACCCACAUGUGUGCUGCUGAGAAGGAUGUACAGGGGCACCUGCAGCCAAAUCCAAGCCUCCUCAGAUGGUGAUGGUGUGGAGAGACGGUGGUGUUUCCUCAGAAGAACUAGCAGAGUCACCAAGGGCACGAGUCCAUCUCACCACCUUGACUUGCUGACUGAUGCUCGUCUGCACUGCACAGAGGAAAUCAACUGACCGAGGUUUGUCCAGUGACGUGUUAUGAAAUGUAUAUUUGUUUUAUGCUUACAGAUUUGUUUUUCUUGACAGAGGCUCUGCAGAGGUUAGACAAAGCAGAGAAAAUAUGUGCUUUACAUUUUACUGUGAUUUACUGUGAUAUUUGUUGCCUGAUGUUCAGCAGGAAUGGAGAAAUGGAAUCAAAGGGAGAAGUUUUUGAUGUUUUUGUAAUGAUGUAAGUAAAUCUCCAGUUUCUGAGUGAGGGAGAGAGGAGUCAUCAUCCAGGUAAAGUGACGUGGAUCAGUGGAUACACUUGUCUUCGCUUUCAAAGGCGAUACUCUUAGAGAGAGACGAUCCGAGUCAUCCUUAAAUGUUAGUGCUUUCAAAUACACAAACAUUUUUAAAGGACAAAAUCGAACAUCCCACUUUGACUGUAAUACAAUUAAAUCUUUGCAUGUGUGUUUUCAAACUCUCAGAUGGGCAGGAUAUCAGUCUUGGACUGUGUAACCUGCAGGAGCAGCAUUGAAUGACCACCACACAUGAGCAUGUUCCUGCAACAUUCAGCAGCUUUGCUUUUGGUAAGUAGAGUUAUUUAACUACAGUAAUUAUAAACACAUGAUAUCCAUUUCUAACGGCCUGGUUACUUCC
rnacentral:lncRNA from 1 species